GAUGAACGCUGGCGGCGUGCCUAAUACAUGCAAGUCGAGCGAACGGAUGAGAUGCUUGCUCCCCCGAUGUUAGCGGCGGACGGGUGAGUACCACGUGGAUAACCUACCUAUAAGACUGGGAUAACUUCGGGAAACCGGAGCUAAUACCGGAUAAUAUUUUGAACUGCAUGGUUCAAAAGUGAAAGACGGUCUUGCUGUCACUUAUAGAUGGAUCCGCGCUGCAUCAGCUAGUUGGUAAGGUAACGGCUUACCAAGGCAACGAUGCAUAGCCGACCUGAGAGGGUGAUCGGCCACACUGGAACUGAGACUCGGUCCAGACUCCUACGGGAGGCAGCAGUAGGGAAUCUUCCGCGAUGGGCGAGAGCCUGACGGAGCAACGCCGCGUGAGUGAUGAAGGUCUUCGGAUCGUAAAACUCUGUUAUUAGGGAAGAACAUAUGUGUAAGUAACUGUGCACAUCUUGACGGUACCUAAUCAGAAAGCCACGGCUAACUACGUG
rnacentral:rRNA from 1 species